rnacentral:tRNA from 14 species
GUCUCAGUAGCUCAGCUGGAUAGAGCAACGCCCUUCUAAGGCGUCGGUCGGGAGUUCGAAUCUCUCCUGGGACG